AUUCGUUGCUAUGGAAAUUAAAAGUAAACAAGUAACAUCUAGGAGGAGAAACCAUUGUUCAGUGCUGGGGAGUUGGGGGAGGGCAGAUUGAGGCUAACCCUGAAGUUACAAGUGUUGACUCCUACUUGGGAAGAGGACUUGAUAUUUCCAACAAUGUUUGUGCUUUCUGGGGAGAGAAGACAAUACUCUGGUCCCUGAGGCAAAAGGUGAAUCCUCUGAAUCAGAAUACUUCUCCUGCUAUUCCUCCUUGAGUCAUCUGUCUUCUGCAGGAAUCUCAAAAUCAAGCAAAUUUGAUCCACCACCUGGCCACUCUUUGGAAGACAAUACUCUGGUCCCUGAGCCUAAAGGUGAAUCCUCUGAAUCAGAAUACUUCUCCUGCUAUUCCUCCUUGAGUCAUCUGUCUUCUGCAGGAAUCUCAAAAUCAAGCAAAUUUGAUCCACCACCUGGCCCCUCUUUGGAAGACAAUACUCUGGUCCCUGUGGCAAACGGUGAAUCCUCUGAAUCAGAAUACUUCUCCUGCUAUUCCUCCUUGAGUCAUCUGUCUUCUGCAGAAAUCUUAAAGAAGCAAAAGGAUACUCCACAGCCUGGUGAGAGUACCUCACAGGAAGAACACAGUGCCGUUGUCUCAAGUGACCUCCCCUGUGCCUCUGACAAUAAGAAUACGGAAGUCUUAAACACAGAUGAAGACAUUCUACUUUCUGGACCCUCUGGGUUGGCCCAAGGCCACAGCCAGAGGGCAGAAGUUUCAGACUCAGAAUAUAUUUCCCGUAUCUCUCCUGCAGACAAGCUCUUUGACAGAGAAUUCUGGAAGAACCAAGAGAAUGUGCCUCAGCCUGAGUCAUAUGUGGUCUCUCCUGGCAGUGAGAUUGCAGGAGAAAAGGCUUCUUCCUCAGAAUACGUCUGCAUCUCCCCUUCUGGUAAGUUUAUCCUCGCUAAAGAGGACGGUAAGGGAAAUACACAGGUCGCGUCUGAGCAGAGAUAGCAGGUACAACUGAGCUGCUCAGCCCAAGCCUGACUUAUCUUAUUCUCCCCUUGAGAGCAGAAGAGGGCUUCAGGGCAGAGGGACUAGGACUGAAGCCCCUGCAGAGGAACAGAAAGGGAGUGUAGCUUCAGGGGGAGGACCCAGUCACCGUUGUAGCUUCAGGUCAAGUAGAGCCCCGCAGUGGUGUGGACAUUUCAUCACACCCUUCCCCCUCAGAGGUGCAUGAACUCAACCUCACCCACACUCCUGCAUCUGUAUUCCUUCCUACCAGUUCUGGUCCCAUUUCUCCUUCCUUUUCUCCUUGCCUUCCUUCCUCAUUCACUUUCCCAGUCUCUGGCAUGGCAUAGCUACACCCUUGUCCCUUCAUUCCCUCACACAGUCAGACUCAUCCACUCACACACUAAUACCAUAAGUCCUUUACAACCCCUUGUACAGAUCACCUGUUUUAACUCCCUCACACUAAGCCAAACUGCAGAAAAUGGAUAUACCCUGAGGAGGAUGGACUUUCAUGUACAGCCUUUCUCAUCCACAUGCCACUUCACUCAUGAAGACUCGGGCACUUCACAGAGCGGCAUAUUUCAGGAGCUCAGGUCACUUCUGCUGGCAUUCUAAGCUACAGUGUCAACAGGAAACAGCAUUAUUCCCGCACUUGUUCACAUGCUCUGUCACACUAUGUAACACACAUGCACACACUCAUUCGCUGUCACCUCUGACUAACAUCAGAAACAGUCACCAGGGUACCUGCAUGGCUCAGUCAUUUGAGCAUCCGACUCUUGGUUUCAGCUCGGGUCAUGAUCUCAAAGUAGUGAGAUCCAGCCCCAUGUCACACUCCACGCUCAGCAAGGAGUCUGCUUGUCCCUUUCCCUCUGCUUCUUCACUUUCUGUCUCUCUCUGUAUCUCUCUCACAAAUAAAUAAAUAAAAUCUUAAAGGAAGCGUUCA
rnacentral:lncRNA from 12 species